rnacentral:rRNA from 1 species
AGUUGAUCAUGGCUCAGGAUGAACGCUAGCGACAGGCUUAACACAUGCAAGUCGAGGGGCAGCAUAAAAGUAGCAAUACUUGUGGCGACCGGCGCACGGGUGAGUAACGCGUAUGCAACCUACCUAUCAGAGGGGAAUAACCCGGCGAAAGUCGGACUAAUACCGCAUAAAACAGGGACACCGCAUGGUGAUAUUUGUUAAAGAAAUUCGCUGAUAGAUGGGCAUGCGUUCCAUUAGGUAGUUGGUGAGGUAACGGCUCACCAAGCCGACGAUGGAUAGGGGAACUGAGAGGUUGGUCCCCCACACUGGUACUGAGACACGGACCAGACUCCUACGGGAGGCAGCAGUGAGGAAUAUUGGUCAAUGGGCGAGAGCCUGAACCAGCCAAGUCGCGUGAAGGAAAGAAGGAUCUAUGGUUCGUAAACUUCUUUUGCAGGGGAAUAAAGUGCAGGACGUGUCCUGUUUUGUAUGUACCCUGAGAAUAAGGAUCGGCUAACUCCGUGCCAGCAGCAGC